GGACGAACGCUGGCGGCGUGCCUAAUACAUGCAAGUAGAACGCUGAAGAGAGGAGCUUGCUCUUCUUGGAUGAGUUGCGAACGGGUGAGUAACGCGUAGGUAACCUGCCUUGUAGCGGGGGAUAACUAUUGGAAACGAUAGCUAAUACCGCAUAACAAUGGAUGACACAUGUCAUUUAUUUGAAAGGGGCAAUUGCUCCACUACAAGAUGGACCUGCGUUGUAUUAGCUAGUAGGUGAGGUAAUGGCUCACCUAGGCGACGAUACAUAGCCGACCUGAGAGGGUGAUCGGCCACACUGGGACUGAGACACGGCCCAGACUCCUACGGGAGGCAGCAGUAGGGAAUCUUCGGCAAUGGGGGCAACCCUGACCGAGCAACGCCGCGUGAGUGAAGAAGGUUUUCGGAUCGUAAAGCUCUGUUGUAAGUCAAGAACGGGUGUGAGAGUGGAAAGUUCACACUGUGACGGUAGCUUACCAGAAAGGGACGGCUAACUACGUGCCAGCAGCCGCGGUAAUACGUAGGUCCCGAGCGUUGUCCGGAUUUAUUGGGCGUAAAGCGAGCGCAGGCGGUUUGAUAAGUCUGAAGUUAAAGGCUGUGGCUCAACCAUAGUUCGCUUUGGAAACUGUCAAACUUGAGUGCAGAAGGGGAGAGUGGAAUUCCAUGUGUAGCGGUGAAAUGCGUAGAUAUAUGGAGGAACACCGGUGGCGAAAGCGGCUCUCUGGUCUGUAACUGACGCUGAGGCUCGAAAGCGUGGGGAGCGAACAGGAUUAGAUACCCUGGUAGUCCACGCCGUAAACGAUGAGUGCUAGGUGUUGGAUCCUUUCCGGGAUUCAGUGCCGCAGCUAACGCAUUAAGCACUCCGCCUGGGGAGUACGACCGCAAGGUUGAAACUCAAAGGAAUUGACGGGGGCCCGCACAAGCGGUGGAGCAUGUGGUUUAAUUCGAAGCAACGCGAAGAACCUUACCAGGUCUUGACAUCCCGAUGCUAUUUCUAGAGAUAGAAAGUUACUUCGGUACAUCGGUGACAGGUGGUGCAUGGUUGUCGUCAGCUCGUGUCGUGAGAUGUUGGGUUAAGUCCCGCAACGGGCGCAACCCCUAUUGUUAGUUGCCAUCAUUCAGUUGGGCACUCUAGCGAGACUGCCGGUAAUAAACCGGAGGAAGGUGGGGAUGACGUCAAAUCAUCAUGCCCCUUAUGACCUGGGCUACACACGUGCUACAAUGGUUGGUACAACGAGUUGCGAGUCGGUGACGGCGAGCUAAUCUCUUAAAGCCAAUCUCAGUUCGGAUUGUAGGCUGCAACUCGCCUACAUGAAGUCGGAAUCGCUAGUAAUCGCGGAUCAGCACGCCGCGGUGAAUAUGUUCCCGGGCCUUGUACACACCGCCCGUCACACCACGAGAGUUUGUAACACCCGAAGUCGGUGAGGUAACCUUUUGGAGCCAGCCGCCUAAGGUGGGACAGAUGAUUGGGGUGAAG
rnacentral:rRNA from 1 species